rnacentral:rRNA from 1 species
UUUCCCGGUUGGAUCCUGCCGGAGGCCAUUGCUAUCGGAGUCCGAUUUUAGCCAUGCUAGUUGUGCGGGUUUAGGCCCGCAGCGGAAAGCUCAGUAACACGUGGCCAAGCUACCCUGUGGACGGGAAUACUCUCGGGAAACUGAGGCUAAUCCCCGAUAACGCUUUGCUCCUGGAAGGGGCAAAGCCGGAAACGCUCCCGGCGCCACAGGAUGCGGCUGCGGUCGAUUAGGUAGACGGUGGGGUAACGGCCCCACCGUGCCUAUAAUCGGUACGGGUUGUGAGAGCAAGAGCCCGGAGACGGAAUCUGAGACAAGAUUCCGGGCCCUACGGGGCGCAGCAGGCGCGAAACCUUUACACUGUACGAAAGUGCGAUAAGGGGACUCCGAGUGUGAAGGCAUAGAGCCUUCACUUUUGUACACCGUAAGAGUGGUGUACGAAUAAGGACUGGGCAAAAAACGGUGCCAAACGCCGCGGUAAUACCGGCAGUCCGAGUGAUGGCCGAUAUUAUUGGGCCUAAAGCGUCCGUAGCUGGCUGAACAAGUCCGUUGGGAAAUCUGUCCGCUUAACGGGCAGGCGUCCAGCGGAAACUGUUCAGCUUGGGACCGGAAGACCUGAGGGGUACGUCUGGGGUAGGAGUGAAAUCCUGUAAUCCUGGACGGACCGCCGGUGGCGAAAGCGCCUCAGGAGAACGGAUCCGACAGUGAGGGACGAAAGCUAGGGUCUCGAACCGGAUUAGAUACCCGGGUAGUCCUAGCUGUAAACGAUGUCCCCUCUGGUUGCGCAGGCUACGAGCCUGCGCUGUGCCGUAGGAAGCCGACCUCUACCGCCUGGGAAGUACG